rnacentral:rRNA from 1 species
AGAGUUUGAUCAUGGCUCAGAACGAACGCUGGCGGCAUGGAUUAGGCAUGCAAGUCGAACGGUGUAGCAAUACACAGUGGCGGAAGGGUGAGGAACACGUGAAUAAUCUGCCCUCAAGUUGGGAAUAACUUUCCGAAAGGAAAGCUAAUACCGAAUGUGGUUGUUUUAUCGCAUGGUGAAACACUAAAGAUUUAUCGCUUGGGGAUGAGUUCGCGUCCCAUUAGCUAGUUGGUGAGGUAACGGCUCACCAAGGCAGAGAUGGGUAGCUGGUCUGAGAGGAUGAUCAGCCACACUGGGACUGAGACACUGCCCAGACUCCUACGGGAGGCUGCAGUCGAGAAUCUUUUGCAAUGCGCGAAAAAGCGUGACAAAGCAAUGCCGCGUGCCGGAUGAAGGUCUUCGGAUUGUAAACGGCUGUCACUCGGGACGAAAACUGACGGUACCGAGGGAGGAAGCCACGGCUAACUACGUGCCAGCCGCGGC